rnacentral:rRNA from 1 species
GGAUUAAUACCUCAUAGUAUGUGAGAAUGGCAUCAUUUCACAUUAAAGUCACAACGGCAAAAGAUGAGCAUGCGUCCCAUUAGCUUGUUGGUAAGGUAACGGCUUACCAAGGCAACGAUGGGUAGGGGUCCUGAGAGGGAGAUCCCCCACACUGGUACUGAGACACGGACCAGACUCCUACGGGAGGCAGCAGUGAGGAAUAUUGGACAAUGGGCGCAAGCCUGAUCCAGCCAUGCCGCGUGCAGGAUGACGGUCCUAUGGAUUGUAAACUGCUUUUGUACAGGAAGAAACACUGGUUCGUGAACCAGCUUGACGGUACUGUAAGAAUAAGGAUCGGCUAACUCCGUG